rnacentral:lncRNA from 1 species
GUGAAGACAGACUCUAGGAGAAAAUGUCCCAGGCCAGGAGCAGCCUGAUCUCCGUGGGGAGUGCUGGUGGAGCCCGGAGGGCGCAGAUUUGAAGUGUAUGCCCAGCGACCGGUGAAGACCUCCGGCUCAACAGAGAAAAAUGGAAGCUUUGGUCCCCAGUCGCUCCGGUGAAGAAGCAAAGAUCACCGCAGUCUGAUUUUUACAGACUCCGUACCACUGUUGCAGCCUGUGAUUCUGAGGUGCAAAAUUGGCCAGCCCAGAGAGAAUGGACCAAUUGCUUCGGCUUUAAUUUCCGGUGCUUUACAAAGGCUGAGCUGAAGGCUGCACCACCAGAAGCUUGGAAUUUGCCUGGUCUGCUGGAUGGAGAGAGUCUGACUUGGAUUCUGGGGACUUGGAAAGACAGUCAAAAGACUCUUCCCUUCCCUGAAAUAGCCACGCAUUUGUUUAAAGACCUGAAACCAUUCUGAUGCUGGAAUUUCCCUCUGUGUUUAUGUUCACAUCUGGGUGAUGGUCUUCUGCCACUGGAGGACUUUUAGUGAAUCACUUCAGAGAUUGUUUUUAAUGUUUCCCAGAUGAGAGGGGCUGGCACUCGUCUGUUUUCUGAGGCCUGACAGGGCAGGACUGACCGGGCUUCCCGGCUGGCCGCCUGGAGCUGUUCCUUGGGGGAAGUGGACAGGCAUUUCUUGUCUUUCUGGGAAACCUGCUCCUCUGAGCUCCUGAUCCCCGGGCUCUCUUUCCACAUGAGGAGGGGGGAAAAGGUGGAAUGGAAUAUAAAUAAAAGAGAUAGACUAGUUUUAACUGGUCCAAGAUGUUACGGGCUGCGCUCUCGGUAGCCACUGGCAGCCGGCACCCCUCUGUGUUCCCGGGCUCUGGUUUGCGGUGUCACGGGCUCCAAGAGACAAGGCUGGUUGGGGUCGCUUCCAGAGGGCAGCCUGGGAAGCUCAGGAAGCUGUUGGCUCAGCUCAGGAGUCAU